ACACUUCUGCACAGUCUCAAGAUUAAGCCAUGCAUGUCUAAGUACACACUGUGGCACAGUGAAACCGCGAAUGGCUCAUUAAAUCAGUUAUGGUUUAUUAGAUCGUGCGUUCUAUGUGGAUAACUGUGGUAAUUCUAGAGCUAAUACAUGCAACUGGCCCUGACUUUACGGAGGGGCGCUUUUAUUAGAUCAAAACCAAUCACACUUCGGUGUGUUGUUGUGAUGACUCUGGAUAACUUUGUGCCGACCGCAUGGCCUUGUGCCGGCGGCGUAUCUUUCAAAUGUCUGCCCUAUCAACUUUCGAUGGUAGGUGAUAUGCCUACCAUGGUUGUAACGGGUAACGGAGAAUCAGGGUUCGAUUCCGGAGAGGGAGCCUGAGAAACGGCUACCACAUCCAAGGAAGGCAGCAGGCGCGCAAAUUACCCACUCCCGGCACGGGGAGGUAGUGACGAAAAAUAACAAUGCUGGGCUUCAAGUCCGGUAAUUGGAAUGAGUACACUUUAAAUCCUUUAACGAGGAUCUAUUGGAGGGCAAGUCUGGUGCCAGCAGCCGCGGUAAUUCCAGCUCCAAUAGCGUAUAUUAAAGUUGUUGCGGUUAAAAAGCUCGUAGUUGGAUCUGCGACCAUCAAGACUGGUAGCCCAUUGGGUUUCACUAGUUCUUGUGGUCUCCUUACUGGUUUUUCCUUGGUGCUCUUAAUUGAGUGCCUUGGUUGGCUAGUGCUUUUACUUUGAAAAAAUUAGAGUGCUCAAAGCAGGCGUUUGCCUGAAUAGUGGUGCAUGGAAUAAUGGAAUAGGACCUCGGUUCUAUUUUGUUGGUUUUCGGAGCUCGAGGUAAUGAUUAAGAGGGACAGACGGGGGCAUUCGUACUGCUGCGUUAGAGGUGAAAUUCUUGGAUCGCAGCAUGACGAACAACUGCGAAAGCAUUUGCCAAGAAUGUUUUCAUUAAUCAAGAACGAUAGUUAGAGGUUCGAACGCGAUCAGAUACCGCCCUAGUUCUAACCGUAAACGAUGCCCAACUAGCAAUCCGCUGGCGUUAAUUUUGACUCAGCGGGCGGCUGCCCGGAAACGAUAAGUUUUUCGGUUCCGGGGAAGUAUGGUGCAAAUCGAAGCUAAGAUGACGAGGGCACCACCAGAUGAGCUGCGCUUAAUUGACUCAAUACGGGAAAACCUCCACCCGG
rnacentral:rRNA from 1 species